UACGAAGGGGACUAGCGUUGUUCGGAAUCACUGGGCGUAAAGCGCACGUAGGCGGAUAUGUCAGUCAGGGGUGAAAUCCCGGGGCUCAACCUCGGAACUGCCUUUGAUACAGCAUGUCUUGAGUCCGAUAGAGGUGGGUGGAAUUCCUAGUGUAGAGGUGAAAUUCGUAGAUAUUAGGAAGAACACCGGUGGCGAAGGCGGCCCACUGGAUCGGUACUGACGCUGAGGUGCGAAAGCGUGGGGAGCAAACAGG
rnacentral:rRNA from 1 species